CUGCCACUGAAGAGACCCUGUCAUGGGCUGCCACCAACUGGGCACGAACAAGGCCUUACCUGAGGAUCAUAGAGUCCAGUAUGGUUGUAAGUAGGGAAGGUACUCUUUUAUGUUCUUGGGAUCCAAGCCAUUUAUCACUGUAUAGGCUACUAUGAACACCUUGCAUUUGGCCCAGUAGUUCAUUGGCAGCUGUGCUGGAUUACCAAAUAGGAAGAGUAGGCACCAGCCUAUGGCCUUUUAGGGGCCCUCUGUCAACGGAUCAAAAUAAUAUUGAUUUGAUCUUGAAAGAAAAUUACAAUCAAGUAUUAAGAGAUAAUUUGUGAGGGCACCACCCCAAGAUUUUGACUGCCUAGGGGCCUCCACGGGGUUUAAGCCUGCACUGAGUAUUUUCACAUGGCCCAUUUACCAGCCUAGCAGCUGCAUUCUUCACAAGCUGCAGUCAUUUCAUAUCACUUGGGAGGAAAGUCUGUUUAAGGUAACAGGAGAGGCAGAAUCUUGAUAGAUUUCAUCUCUCUUCACAGAUGAACAGUCAUGCAGUGACCUAUUUUGAUAUUCCAAAAAGCGUCAUUUGCAAGCAGCAGUAGGAAGACAUUAAAAAUUGAGUAUGAGGUGAUCAGCCCUUAGUUACCAAGAUCUUUGAUGUAAGCAGAGUUGACAUUAUUUGUUUAAAUAAAGUUUUUUUUUUAAAAAAAAACCAAACAAACCCCAAAAACAAACAUGGAGUGGGGAGUGACUUUCAAACCUUACUCCUAGAAAUUUAUUUAGGGCUUGGAAGCUUCAAGGGUCCCUAGAUCAGAUCAGUAAUGACCAAUAAGCUGGCAAAGAUAUCCUGAUGUCUACCAUAACUGAUCAUAAGGUAAAGGUAAAGGGACCCCUGAACAUUAGGUCCAGUCAUGGCCAACUCUGGGAUUGCAGCACCUAUCUCGCUUUAUUGGCUGAGGGAGCUGGCGUACAGCUUCCGGGUCAUGUGGCCAGCAUGACUAAGCCGCUUCUGGCGACCCAGAGCAGCGCACGGAAUCGCCGUUUACCUUCCCGCCGGAGCGGUACCUAUUUAUCUACUUGCACUUUGACAUGCUUUCAAACUGCUAGGUUGGCAGGAGCAGGGAUCGAGCAACGGGAGCUCACACCGUUGUGUGGAUUCAAACCGCCGACCUUCUGAUUGGCAAGUCCUAGGCUCUGUGGUUUAACCCACAGCGCCACCCGCGUCCAUAUAACUGAUCAUACACGUUCAGUAAAAUGAAAAUAUGGUUCAUAUGGGCUAAAGCGAUUUUUAUUAAGUAGGUUGGCCCUGCAUUGCUCUUUAGCUGGUGUGGUGGUGUGGAUGGGAAGAGAAGCUUUAGUGCUUUCGACCAGCUCCAGUCCUGAUCAGAAUCAAACCCCACUCUGCUGUGAUUUGCCUGGGAAGGAAAGUUCCCAUUGGCCCCCAUGCAAACCUUCCUCCCAUUGCAAAUAGCAAGCAUGGAGGGGUGUGUGAGUCUGGUGAGGGGGCAGGGGAGUUAUAUGCCCUCUGUAAUGUCAUGGUCCAAGUUUGCACACCCCCACCCCUACCAAACGCUAACUAUUUGCUAAACAAAAACCAGUUACGCAGCCCAAACAUGUCUUGUUUAUACCGCAGUUAGCAAAGUAUAAUCCAGAGGUCAAAAAGUCUCUGCCAGCUCCCCUGGGUGAACUGAGUAUUCUCCCUGAAUGUUUCUCAUGCAACUUCUCUGUAGGAAGUUUACUUUGUUGGCAUUUAAAGGCAAACUUACCUAAUUCACAAUUUCUGAAACAAGAUUUGAGCCGAAACACAGCCAUCCUUUGAAAUUUGCACUUACCCAAAUUUUGCCAUGCAGAUCUCCAGCAAAGUAAUGUGUACCAAAAUGCACAUACUGGUUUAAAGUGUGCAACACGCCAAAGAAAGGCAUACAAAAAUGUGUUUAUUAGGCAGAAUCCACAUCAAAAUGCUGCUGAAUUUUCAUAAGAUUAAAAAAAAUAAUUCACAAACUGACGUAGAAAUGCAGAGAACUGAAGUUUAGAAAAACAAGAAACAAAGAGAAAUCGAAAGAUCUGCCCAUUCCUAAUCCUCCGCAAGCCACAAAGGAUCAUUGGCAGACAAAUUAAUAUGGAAAUUGUUCCCUGAGAGCAGAAAGUUUGACAAGAAUCAUUACAGAAAGGUUAAGUUAUGAAUAAAUUCCUCCAGAAAAAGCACUCUCUGUAAGGGGAAGAACUACAGUUCCCAUGAUUCUCUGGCACACUGCUGGAAGUUCUGGAUUGGUUCUGCUGGUGUACCCACAGAGCCCUAACCUCUGUUCCAGGAGAGGAGAGCACACCUGAAUCUUGUAGCUGACAUUGUGAUACUGUCCCCCCCCCUUUUAUUCCCUCGAAAAACUAUUUUGACUGUGCUGUUCAUUUACAAGCUGAAAGCAAGCCUCUAAUAUUUUGAAAAGGGCAGAUCAAAAUUCAGCUUACUGAGGCAGAACGUGGGGUUUCCUCAAUGUGUCUCCAAUUAUGAGCCCUGACACUGGACAUUUCACAGCAGAUAUGUCAAUGAAAAGAGGCAUGAGCUUUGCAAAAAUGCCGGAGGGUAUUCUCCCUCGGGCUUGAAGCUGUCAAUCCUUUUCUUGAAGGCCCAGCUCAGAAGCACCUGCAAGAUUGACAGAGAGGAGGAGAGGGGUGAAAUUAGACGUCAUAAGGGGAAACCAGCUGGUCUCUAGUCGGUUUGCUGCACAGCUGCCAUCUUAACCUUCACAGUCAAUGUCUGUGUAUUUAAGCCAAUCAGUUAAGCAGAAAUUUGAAAAUUAUCCUUAAGUUCUCUGAAUUUCCUCCCUUGCCAUUUUCUCAGAAAUUGCACACACGUUGUAACAAUUUGCAGCAUUAGGGAGGAGAAAAUCCAGGCAUGAUGGUAAAUUGGGACAUUUGUAGAUUAGUUUUUCAUUUACCCUUUAGCUGUGUACACACUAUACCUUUAAAACACCAAACACAAAUCCCUGUUAAAGAAGAACUCUAUUUCGUUGACCAAAUCUGGCCAGUUUUAUACCAUAAAUAGAAGGGUAUAUUCUUGACACGGAGCACAUGUAGAGAAGACAUUGAAUGUGAGAAACAUCUGUCGGAGGGAAGGCCGCCAAUAUUUGUAGAUAUAUAUGUGAUCUCCUGCCAAGUUCUCAGACGGUGCCAAUUGACAGCUAUUAAUUAACUUCAGUCGAUCUUCACUGAUUUAUGCCAGUUAAUAUGAUUUGCUCUUUGGCGGAACAGUUUCGGACUAUGUUUUCUUUUCUUCUGCAAAGGUAGAUCAGCCUCUGCUGAGACAUUCAUAAUCUCAAGAAACUAGCCCUUGAUCAUUGAAAAUAUAGUCAUCAUGCAUUUUGCCAUUGAUAGAAUAUUUAUGCCUCAGGUAACCACUGAACAAAAUGAGUGUUAAAAGAAUUGAACUGCGUAUUGUGUCUUUCAGUAAGACUUGGAGAGAAAUCCUAUGCCUGGCUACUCAGAAGGAAGUCCUAUUGGAUUCAGUGACACUUACUCCCAGGUGUUUUGGCAGCAGAGGAUCAAUGGGAUGCCUCUUAAUCUACUCUAGCAUGGAUCUGGCACAGUUAAUUUCCAGAAGCUUCCACUCUAAACCCCCACUGCCCUGGUUGCAGUAAACUGGUAGGGUUUAAGAAAUGGCGACAGCUCUGCCAUAGAAUCUCCCCUUUCUCAACAUAAGAUUUCUUUGUUAAAUUCUUAACUGAUACAAAGGGAUGGUAGUUGUCAAGUACAUUUAAAAGAAUCUGAAGAUGUUUUAUUGGGGACUUUGACUCCAGUGUUAUGGCUCUUGAGCAGUGCAGUCUUCCUACAGACGACUUGAAAAUUGCUGAGGGCCUUGGCCGGCCACUUAAUGAUUUUCCCAUCUGUUGUAGCAAAUGUAAUGUGCUGUGCAGGCUGCGGUAUAACUUUUAAUUGUAUUUCUAAUGCUUAUUUUAUUUUCUUAUAUAUUGUGCUUUAGUGUGUUAUAAUUUGAAUUCCAUAGAAUUCAAAAUGUAAUGCAAUAAAAUACUCUUUUCAGGAGGGACUGUGAAGCUAUGUAGCAGGAAGGAAUCAUCAUGUAAGGUGGCUACUUAAACCUCACAAAUAAAAGAGAAAAGGGGUCACACACAAAAAACAGAAGAGGAUACAGAUUUCCAUUAAAUUUGCAUAUGCUAAUUUAGAUUAUUAUUUUUUAUUUUUGUAAUUUAUAUAGUAAUAGCGCACCUCUGGGCAAAGUGUGAUCCAUUGACUGCUCAGCCCAGGUACUGACAACUCCAAGGUCCCUGUUCUCCCUCCUUAUGGUUUGGGGUCUCCUGUUUGGACAACCCUUCAGAUAGCUCAUCAAAUUAGAAGACUGUCAUCUAUAAAGGAA